rnacentral:rRNA from 1 species
AGUGAACGCUGGCGGUAGGCCUAACACAGGCAAGUCGAACGGCAGCACAGUAAGAGCUUGCUCUUACGGGUGGCGAGUGGCGGACGGGUGAGGAAUACAUCGGAAUCUACUUUUUCGUGGGGGAUAACGUAGGGAAACUUACGCUAAUACCGCAUACGACCUACGGGUGAAAGCAGGGGAUCUUCGGACCUUGCGCGAUUGAAUGAGCCGAUGUCGGAUUAGCUAGUUGGCGGGGUAAAGGCCCACCAAGGCGACGAUCCGUAGCUGGUCUGAGAGGAUGAUCAGCCACACUGGAACUGAGACACGGUCCAGACUCCUACGGGAGGCAGCAGUGGGGAAUAUUGGACAAUGGGCGCAAGCCUGAUCCAGCCAUACCGCGUGGGUGAAGAAGGCCUUCGGGUUGUAAAGCCCUUUUGUUGGGAAAGAAAAGCAGCAGGUUAAUACCCCGCUGUUCUGACGGUACCCAAAGAAUAAGCACCGGCUAACUUCGUG